rnacentral:rRNA from 1 species
CACGGAGUUAGCCGGUGCUUCUUCUGCGGGUAACGUCAAUCGACGCGGUUAUUAACCACAUCGCCUUCCUCCCCGCUGAAAGUACUUUACAACCCGAAGGCCUUCUUCAUACACGCGGCAUGGCUGCAUCAGGCUUGCGCCCAUUGUGCAAUAUUCCCCACUGCUGCCUCCCGUAGGAGUCUGGACCGUGUCUCAGUUCCAGUGUGGCUGGUCAUCCUCUCAGACCAGCUAGGGAUCGUCGCCUAGGUGAGCCGUUACCCCACCUACUAGCUAAUCCCAUCUGGGCACAUCUGAUGGCAAGAGGCCCGAAGGUCCCCCUCUUUGGUCUUGCGACGUUAUGCGGUAUUAGCUACCGUUUCCAGUAGUUAUCCCCCUCCAUCAGGCAGUUUCCCAGACAUUACUCACCCGUCCGCCACUCGUCAGCAAAGCAGCAAGCUGCUUCCUGUUACCGUUCGACUUGCAUGUGUUAGGCCUGCCGCCAGCGUUCAAU